GCUGACGGCCAUACCAGUCUGAAAGUGCCUGAUCUCGUCAGAUCUCAGAAGUCAUGGAGACUUGUGCUUGCUUUGUGCUUGUAUGGGAGACCAACUAGGAACCUCAGGUGCCGUAAGCU
rnacentral:rRNA from 1 species